rnacentral:rRNA from 1 species
CCGUAGGUGAACCUGCGGAAGGAUCAUUACUGAUUUGCUUAAUUGCACCACAUGUGUUUUUCUUUGAAACAAACUUGCUUUGGCGGUGGGCCCAGCCUGCCGCCAGAGGUCUAAACUUACAACCAAUUUUUUAUCAACUUGUCACACCAGAUUAUUACUAAUAGUCAAAACUUUCAACAACGGAUCUCUUGGUUCUCGCAUCGAUGAAGAACGCAGCGAAAUGCGAUACGUAAUAUGAAUUGCAGAUAUUCGUGAAUCAUCGAAUCUUUGAACGCACAUUGCGCCCUCUGGUAUUCCGGAGGGCAUGCCUGUUUGAGCGUCGUUUCUCCCUCAAACCGCUGGGUUUGGUGUUGAGCAAUACGACUUGGGUUUGCUUGAAAGACGGUAGUGGUAAGGCGGGAUCGCUUUGACAAUGGCUUAGGUCUAACCAAAAACAUUGCUUGCGGCGGUAACGUCCACCACGUAUAUCUUCAAACUUUGACCUCAAAUCAGGUAGGACUACCCAAGCUGAACUUAAGCAUAUCAAUAAGCGGAGGAAAAG